rnacentral:rRNA from 1 species
AUUGAACGCUGGCGGCAGGCCUAACACAUGCAAGUCGAGCGAGUGGCGGACGGGUGAGUAAUGUCUGGGAAACUGCCUGAUGGGGGGGGAUCACUACUGGAAACGGUCGCUAAUACCGCAUACCAUCAGAUGUGCCCAGAUGGGAUUCGCUAGUGGGUGGGGUAAUGGCUCACCUAGGCGACGAUCCCUAGCUGGUCUGAGAGGAUGACCAGCCACACUGGAACUGAGACACGGUCCAGACUCCUACGGGAGGCAGCAGUGGGGAAUAUUGCACAAUGGGCGCAAGCCUGAUGCAGCCAUGCCGCGUGUAUGAAGAAGGCCUUAGGGUUGUAAAGUACUUUCAGCGGGGAGGCGUUACCCGCAGAAGAAGCACCGGCUAACUCCGUGCCAGCAGCCGCGGUAAUAC